ACAAGUGAAAAAACCAGAGCCUAUGCAGAAUAUCAGAAGCCAGGGGGAGGAGGUGCAGUGUUCACUCUUGAGCGUGAAGCUGGCACUUGCUGUUGGUUUCUCCCAACUCAUUUGUUACUGAUUAUGAGACUGCUUUUGGGGGAGGGUAGAGCAAGAGAGAGAAACAGUCUGAGGGU
rnacentral:snoRNA from 1 species